rnacentral:rRNA from 1 species
UACGAAGGGGGCUAGCGUUGUUCGGAAUUACUGGGCGUAAAGCGCGCGCAGGCGGGUCAUCAAGUUAGGGGUGAAAGCCCAGAGCUCAACUCUGGAACUGCCCUUGAAACUGGUGACCUUGAGUUCGGGAGAGGUGAGUGGAAUUCCCAGUGUAGAGGUGAAAUUCGUAGAUAUUGGGAAGAACACCAGUGGCGAAGGCGACUCACUGGCCCGUAACUGACGCUCAGGCGCGAUAGCGUGGGGAUCAAACAGG